ACAGCAUCACAGAAACUUCACACAAUCCUUCAUUCAAUAUAGAGAUACACUAGUAGAGUUUGGGACAGAGUUCUAUAAACUGAUUUAACUUGAUUUAUCUCAUUUAAUCAGUUUGUAAACAGAUAUCUAACCCACAUAUAACAGAUGCUUUAAUCUUGUAAAACUAUCUACAGUUUACUUGAUAUAGUAUACAAACUGACUUUAGUGCUUUGUUUAAAGGUGCCAUAGAAUGAAAACUGUAUUUAUGUAGGCAUAGAUGAAUAAUAAGAGCAUUGUACAUGUUAAUGACAUCUCGUGAACCUCAAACGCGAUUCGAAAACAGAACAGACCAAUCACAACAUAACACCAACUGUGACGUUACAGUCCAGAUGUACACCCCCAACAUUAAAUUACACAUUAAAUUAAAUACAAUGUUGUUACAAUGAUAAAAACAAAGUUGUGACUCCUGAGUUAGCACUAUAUGCUAGUUAAUGCUACAUGCUAGCGUUUAGGCUGAAGUUCUACUAUUGAUGUUACAGUUAUGUUUUGCAGGUCCAUACAGAAAAAAACACAAAUUUAUCACUCAGAAACAUCCAUUAACAAUCUCCAAACAAUUGAUUAUUCCUCAAAAUCUGAUACAGACUCAAACAUAAGAUCUGUUUACAUACACAGAGCUACUGAAGGAGAAACAGCCAAUCAGAGCAGAGCUCAACAUUAUUAUUCAUGAGCCUUUCAAAUAAGAUAAUAAUAGAGUAUUUCAUUCUAAAGGCAAAUCCUAGGGUUGUAAAUGGACAUAAAAAACUGUCUCUGGAUCAUUUUUGCACUUAAAGGGGACAUUUCACAAGACUUUUCUUAAGAUGACAAAGAAAUAUUUGGUGUCCCCAGAGUACAUAUGUGAAGUUUAGGUUGAUAGAAGCACUGGGGACCCAAUUAUAAAAAAGUCAGAUUUUCAUCAUAUGUCCCCUUUAAUAAAGCCACAUACUUUCUAUGUGUAGAUAUCAAAGAACAAUUUAAAAAUAUUAUUUCAGUGCAAUCUAUGGCACCUUUAAUGUCAACAGGAUCAGUGGAUGUUGGACUGGUGGACAAUGACCAGAGUUUUUACAGCAUUCAAAUGGAUCAAUGUUUUCUGUCUAUUAAUCUAGAAUAGAUGAUAUUUUUCUGUAUUUUUGUGAUGGAUUUUGUCAGGAAAAAAAACAGUAAAUGGAUGAUAUAAAGUGUGUUUGUGUAUCUCAGAUCUCAGUAAAUGUGGAUCUGCAGUGGAUUGUGAAGAACUGAACUGAAUCUGAGGAGACUCCAUGAUAUCUCCAUGUGUCCCAAGUUAAGGAAACCGCCAUGGUGGUCUCACCUGAUAUUGUUCACUGCUGUGUCAUCUCCCUUCCCUUGAUUGGGUUCAACUUUGAGCUGAAAAGAUGUCAAAAAUCCAUGCGAGCACCAUUGAAGUUUCUAAAGGGUUAAAAUCUGAUCUCUUUACCUCCCGGCUUCAGACUGAACUGUGGCGUAGCUCUUUUGUGGGGCUGAUGAAUCUUUGGAAGGGUAGAUGCAGUGAAGACGAAUCCCAUUAAGAGCAGUAUCAU